rnacentral:rRNA from 1 species
UACCUACGGGAGGCAGCAGUGGGGAAUAUUGCACAAUGGGGGGAACCCUGAUGCAGCGACGCCGCGUGAGUGAAGAAGUAUUUCGGUACGUAAAGCUCUAUCAGCAGGGAAGAAAAAAGGACGGUACCUGAGUAAGAAGCCCCGGCUAACUACGUGCCAGCAGCCGCGGUAAUACGUAGGGGGCAAGCGUUAUCCGGAAUUACUGGGUGUAAAGGGAGUGUAGGCGGGAAAGCAAGUCAGAAGUGAAAACUAUGGGCUUAACCCAUAGCCUGCUUUUGAAACUGUUUUUCUUG